UUCCGGUUGAUCCUGCCGGACCCUACUGCUAUCGGGGUGGGACUAAGACAUGCGAGUUGAGCGUCUCUAAGCCAUGGUAGAGACGCGGCGUACGGCUCAGUAACACGUGGCUAACCUACCCUUAGGACGGGGACAACCCCGGGAAACUGGGGCUAAUACCCGAUAGGCGAGGAGGCCUGGAAUGGUUUUUAGUCGAAAAGGCGUUGAAACCAUGCUUUUCGACGUUGCCUAAGGAUGGGGCCGCGCCCGAUCAGGUUGUUGGUGGGGUAACGGCUCACCAAGCCUAUAACCGGUACGGGCCGUGAGAGCGGGAGCCCGGAGAUGGGCACUGAGACAAGGGCCCAGGCCCUACGGGGCGCAGCAGUCGCGAAAACUCCGCAAUGCGCGAAAGCGUGACGGGGCUACCCCGAGUGCCGUCCGCUGAGGAUGGCUUUUCCCCGGUGUAAUGAGCCGGGGGAAUAAGGAGAGGGCAAGUCUGGUGUCAGCCGCCGCGGUAAUACCAGCUCUCCGAGUGGUAGGGAUGAUUAUUGGGCUUAAAGCGUCCGUAGCCGGCUUAGCAAGUCUCCUGUUAAAUUCAGCGACCUAAUCGUUGAGCCGCGGGAGAUACUACUAGGCUAGGAGGCGGGAGAGGCCGGCGGUAUUCUCGGGGUAGGGGUGAAAUCCUAUAAUCCCGGGAGGACCACCAGUGGCGAAGGCUGUCGGCUAGAACGCGCUCGACGGUGAGGGACGAAAGCUGGGGGAGCGAACCGGAUUAGAUACCCGGGUAGUCCCAGCUGUAAACGAUGCGGGCUAGGUGUCGGGGUGGCUACGAGCCACUUCAGUGCCGCAGGGAAGCCAUUAAGCCCGCCGCCUGGGGAGUACGGCCGCAAGGCUGAAACUUAAAGGAAUUGGCGGGGGAGCACCACAAGGCGUGAAGCUUGCGGUUCAAUUGGAUUCAACGCCGGG
rnacentral:rRNA from 1 species